rnacentral:rRNA from 1 species
GACGAACGCUGGCGGCGUGCUUAACACAUGCAAGUCGAACGGAAAGGCCCUGCUUUUGUGGGGUGCUCGAGUGGCGAACGGGUGAGUAACACGUGAGUAACCUGCCCUUGACUUUGGGAUAACUUCAGGAAACUGGGGCUAAUACCGGAUAGGAGCUCCUGCUGCAUGGUGGGGGUUGGAAAGUUUCGGCGGUUGGGGAUGGACUCGCGGCGUAUCAGCUUGUUGGUGGGGUAGUGGCUUACCAAGGCUUCGAUGGGUAGCCGACCUGAGAGGGUGAUCGGCCACACUGGAACUGAGACACGGUCCAGACUCCUACGGGAGGCAGCAGUAGGGAAUCUUCCGCAAUGGGCGAAAGCCUGACGGAGCAACGCCGCGUGAGUGAUGAAGGUCUUCGGAUCGUAAAACUCUGUUAUUAGGGAAGAACAAAUGUGUAAGUAACUAUGCACGUCUUGACGGUACCUAAUCAGAAAGCCACGGCUAACUACGUG